UACGGGGGGAGAGCAAGCGUUGUUCGGAUUUACUGGGCGUAAAGGGCGCGUAGGCGGCCACCGCAAGUCAAUUGUGAAAUCUCCGGGCUUAAACUCGGAACGGUCAGCUGAUGACUGCUUUGCUAGAGUGCAGAAGGGGCAAUCGGGAAUUCUUGGUGUAGCGGUGAAAGUGCGUAGAUAUCAAGAGGAACACCUGAGGUGAAGACGGGUUGCUGGGCUGACACUGACGCUGGAGGCGCGAAAGCUAGGGUAGCAAACGGG
rnacentral:rRNA from 1 species